GGAAACAUUGGAAAUACGACAGGAGUGAAGUAAGAAAACAAAGUAAUGAAAAAUACAGAAAAGUUGUAGGAAGUAGUGUUUGGAACGCAGGAAUAUAGGGGUGUUCGGAUCUCCGGACUAAAUUUUAGUCCCUAUCACAUCGAAUGUUUGGACACUAAUUAAGAGUAUUAAACAUAUGCUAAUUACAAAAUCAAUUUUCAACUUCUAGGCUAAAUCGCGUGACGAAUCCAUUAAGCCUAAUUAGUCCAUGAUUUGACAAUAUGGUGCUACAGUAAACAUUCGCUAAUGAUGGAUUAAUUAGGCUUAAUAGAUUCGUCUCGCGAUUUAGCCUAGGGAUUCUGCAAUUAGUUUUGUAAUUAGCUCAUGUUUAAUCCUCCUAAUUAGCAUCCGAAUAUCCGACAUGACACGGACUAAAUUUUAGCUCCAGGAUCCAAACACCCCCUAAAGGAUCAAGAUGUUUAGUCCCGUCUGGAAUGUGGGAAUUGCACAGGAAAUUCGCAGGAUCGGUUCUAGAGGAAGCGUGUAUGGAACGAGGGAACGACGCCUUCCGUUCCGGAGGAAAGGGUGCAGUCUCUAGUCAAGUCAAAACACAGGAAUCAGAAAAUCCAAUCCGACCCAAGGGAAAGCACUACUAGAACCCCCCC
rnacentral:lncRNA from 1 species